CCCCCAAAUCUGCCCAAUUCACCCCAAAAUCUCUCCCUGGAAUCCGAAAUCUCUGCUUUUUGCCCCCAAAUCUCUCCCCCAAAACCCCAAAUCGGAACCUUUUGCCCCAAAAUCGCCAUUUUUCCACCCAACAUCUCCCCUGAAAUCCCCAAAAUCGCAACUUUUCGCCCCAAAAUCGCCCUUUUCCCACAUUUCUCUCCCACAAAUCCCAAAAUUGGAACAUUUGGCCCCAAACUGGAACUUUUCCCCCCCAAAUCUGUCCCUGCAGCCCCAAAAUAUCCUUUUUUCACCCCAAAUCUGCGGCUUUUGGCCCAAAUCGGAACCUUUUCCACCCAAAUCUCUGCCCCCAAAUCCCCAAAUCUGCACUUUUGGCCCCAAAUUCUGGCCACAAAAAUCCCCAAAUCCCAACAUUUUGCCCCAAAUUCUGAACUUUAUCAUCCCCAAAUCUCCCCAAAUCUGGAUUUUUGCCCCAAAUCUGGAUUUUUUUGGUCCCAAAUCGCCACUUUAUGCCCAAAAUUGUCCCCAAAAACCCCAAAUAGGAACUUUUUGCCCCAAAUCUGUUCUUUCUGCCCCAAAUCGCCACUUUUUACCCCAAAAUCUGUCCCCAAAACCCCAAAUCGGAACAUUUUGCUCCCAAAUCAAAACUUUUUCACCCCAAAUCUGCACAAUUUCCCCCAAAAUCUCUCCCUGGACCCCCAAAAUAGCAUUUUUUCACCCCAAAUCGGAACCUUGUGCUCCAAAAUCGCCACUUUUGGCCCCAAAACCUGUCCCCAACCACCCACAAAUUGCGACUUUUGGCCCCAAAUUCCAAACUUUCUCACCCCCAAAUCGCCAUUUUUGCCCCAAAAUCUGUCCCCCAAAACCCCAAAUCGGAACCUUUUGUCCCCAAAUCGCCAUUUUUCCACCCAAAAUCUCCCCUGGAUUCCCAAAAUCGGAAUCUUUGACCCCAAAAUCUGCCCAAUUCACCCCAAAAUCUCCCCCUGGAGCCCCAAAAUUGCAUUUUUUGCCCCCAAAUCUGCUUUUCUGCCCCUAAAUCUGCACUUUUUUGCCCCAAAUUCUGUCCCCAAAAUCCCCAAAUAUCAGUUUUUUACCCGCAAAUCUGCAUUUUUUCACCCCAAAUCUCCACUUUUUGCUCCCAAAUUUCCCCUGGGAUCCCAAAAUAUGAUUUUUUUGCCCCAAAAUCUGUCCCCCAAAUCCCCAAAUCGGAACCUUUUGCCCCAAAAUCGCCAUUUUUCCACCCAAAAUCUCCCCUGCAUUCCCAAAAUCGGAAUCUUUGACCCCAAAAUCUGCCCAAUUCACCCCAAAUUCUCUCCCUGGAAUCCCAAAUCUCCGCUUUUUGCCCCAAAAUCUGUCCCCCAAAUCCCCAAAUCGGAACCUUUUGUCCCAAAAUCGCCAUUUUUCCACCCAAAAUCUGCCCCCAAAUCCCCCAAAAUUGCGAUUUCUGCCCCCAAAGUUCAGCUCAACAAUUCUCCCCAAAAUGGGAUCCACAGCUGCGCCCAUAACUGA
rnacentral:lncRNA from 1 species